rnacentral:rRNA from 1 species
CGGGGGGAGCAAGCGUUGUUCGGAUUACUGGGCGUAAAGGGCGCGUAGGCGGCCAGCACAAGUCAGUUGUGAAAUCUCCGGGGCUUAACUCGGAAAGGUCAACUGAUACUGUGCGGCUAGAGUGCAGAAGGGGCAACUGGAAGUUCUCGGUGUAGCGGUGGAAUGCGUAGAUAUCGAGAGGAACACCUGCGGCGAAGGCGGGUUGCUGGGCUGACACUGACGCUGAUGCGCGAAAGCCAGGGGAGCGAACGGGAUUAGAUACCCUGGUAGUCCACGCCGUAAACGAUGAUAACUAGCUGUCCGGGCUCAUGGAGCCUGGGUGGUGCAGCUAACGCAUUAAGUUAUCCGCCUGGGGAGUACGGUCGCAAGAUUA